UAGGUAAAUCGUUGAACCUAUUUCAUUUUUUGGAUAAUUCAUUUUUCUAAUUGUUGAAUAGACUAGGAGUUUUCGAUAUAGAGAAGGGGCUUUGAAGCUUUGAUCUUAAGAAUGUUCAUUCACUGUUUGAUGAAUUGAUUCAGAGAGCUUCUGAUUGUGUUUUGUCUCUGAGUGGGACUUCUACUGCCACUUUAAUUCAAGGAAAGUUCCUAAUAGUUCCGCUUCGACGGUUUCGACGAAUUAUUCGAAGAAUUUGACUUCUGGUUCUGGUUCUUGAGGUGGUUUGAGAAGCAGGUUCCUUCAAUUGCUGCUUCUUCUAUCUUUGUUCAUGUGGAGAGAAAAGUUUGUGCAAAGGCUUCUGAGUUGUUCAAAAGAGAUCAUAGUUAUGUGAGCAAGUCCAAGUCUACAUUUUAUCCGACGGGUAUGGAAUUGAACUGAAUUUUGCACCCAAAACCCAAAUAAUGGAUUCAUCCUUAAAAUCCACACCUGUUGCAGGUUUCCUCGGUAUGUGAUUUCGAAGAUGGAUAUGAUUUUAUGUAUCAAAACUUCACUUGUUUCAUGAACGGAGGAAGAAGAAGAAAAAGAUAUGUUGAGAUAAAUUCUAAGCUUUCUUGCCAACUCCAAUCCUUGUAGUAGCUCAUGUAUCAAACUCUUUGAAUCUCCCAUGAUAGAAUGAUUAGAACCAAAAAAGAAACAAAAGUGUUGGGAUUUGAGAAUGAAGGUGAGUUAUGUUAUGGGUUAAGGGAUAUAAGAGGGAUGUAUUAGAGAGGUCUAAAUUAUAAUUUGUUGACCUUUUCUUGCCGCGGAACAGACUUUGGAUUCUCAUUGACCCACCACAAUUAUUUAAUACCAUAAUGAUUAUGGUUUAACAAAUCAAAACGUGAACGGUUUAGAUCUUAAAUUGGGAGCAGUGAAAAGAAGGGUAAUGUAUUAAUUAGCUCAAGAUCGAUAAAGCUAGUACCAAUUUGGAAAGUCUUGAGAUUAAGACUAAUGAAUCUAUUGAUGAAUAUGAGAACCUUGUGGCUUUGGUAAUUGAUUUUUAUUUCUCAACAUAUAACCUUAUUAGUUAUACAAAGCUAAUUUAUGAUGAUCAAUCAGUAUGUCAGUUUGAUGAAGCUAUUGAUCAAGAAGGAGAUUCCCUAGAAGGUCUAAGAAAGUUGGUGGAUCCAAGGCUAGGAGAUGGCACAGCUUGCCAAGGAUUGCACAAAUCGAGAUCCAAAAGGGCGUCCAAGAAUGAGAGUUGUUGUGGUUUCUCUAAUGAAACUAAAUUAAAGUAAUGUAUCCAAUUCCUGCAUUGUUCAGUGUCCAAUUCCAUGGAUGACAUAGAAGAUGAUGCUUGCUGACCCACUUUUUGGUUAAAACCAUCUUGAACCAUGACUGAUAGCCUGUACCCGGUCGUUCCUUUAAAGCCAUAU